GGGGGGGGGGGGGGGGGGGGGGGGGGGGGGGGGGGGGGGGGGGGUCUGUCCCCCUGUCCACACUGGGGACUGACCACUGCACCCCAGAG
rnacentral:miRNA from 12 species